AACGAACGCUGGCGGCAUGCCUAACACAUGCAAGUCGAACGAGACCUUCGGGUCUAGUGGCGCACGGGUGCGUAACGCGUGGGAACCUGCCCUUAGGUUCGGAAUAACUCCCCGAAAGGGGUGCUAAUACCGGAUAAUGUCUUCGGACCAAAGAUUUAUCGCCUUUGGAUGGGCCCGCGUUGGAUUAGCUAGUUGGUAGGGUAAAAGCCUACCAAGGCGACGAUCCAUAGCUGGUCUGAGAGGAUGAUCAGCCACACUGGGACUGAGACACGGCCCAGACUCCUACGGGAGGGAGCAGUGGGUAAUAUUGGACAAUGGGCGAAGGCCUGAUCCAGCAAUGCCGCGUGAGUGAUGAAGGCCUUAGGGUUGUAAAGCUCUUUUACCCGGGAUGAUAAUGACAGUACCGGGAGAAUAAGCUCCGGCUAACUCCGUG
rnacentral:rRNA from 1 species